UACGUAGGGCGCGAGCGUUGUCCGGAAUUAUUGGGCGUAAAGAGCUUGUAGGCGGUUUGUCGCGUCUGCUGUGAAAAUCCGGGGCUCAACCCCGGACUUGCAGUGGGUACGGGCAGACUAGAGUGUGGUAGGGGAGACUGGAAUUCCUGGUGUAGCGGUGAAAUGCGCAGAUAUCAGGAGGAACACCGGUGGCGAAGGCGGGUCUCUGGGCCGAUACUGACGCUGAGGAGCGAAAGCGUGGGGAGCGAACAGG
rnacentral:rRNA from 1 species